UUCCCCCUUUCUCUGUGUGCUUUUUUUGGAAUUUUUGGGGCAGACGGUCACAAGUUAUUGAAUUGUAGUUGGACUAUGAUGCUGUUAUUUAGUAAAUUUUGACAUUUUAGAAUGUUUCUGUAGUCUCUAGUUCAUUUCUAUUUGUGUUUGUGUACUAAUUGAGCACAAUCAUGUAUUCUUUGGAGAAAUCUUGUUGGGUAAUUGAUAUGUUGAGCAGUGUGUAUGCCUUCAAUAUUUGUUAUUACAGUACAAAUGGAUUUAUGAUGCUGGGAAGUCUUUUGCUGCCCUUAACUUGAAUAGAUAUAUUUUCUAUCCAUGGUGUUUUGCCGUGAU
rnacentral:misc_RNA from 1 species